GAAUGACGGUUCGAGCAGGUGCGAAAGCAGGUCAUAGUGAUCCGGUGGUUCUGUAUGGAAGGGCCAUCGCUCAACGGAUAAAAGGUACUCCGGGGAUAACAGGCUGAUACCGCCCAAGAGUUCAUAUCGACGGCGGUGUUUGGCACCUCGAUGUCGGCUCAUCACAUCCUGGGGCUGAAGUCGGUCCCAAGGGUAUGGCUGUUCGCCAUUUAAAGUGGUACGCGAGCUGGGUUUAGAACGUCGUGAGACAGUUCGGUCCCUAUCUGCCGUGGGCGUUGGAAGAUUGAAGGGGGCUGCUCCUAGUACGAGAGGACCGGAGUGGACGAACCUCUGGUGUUCGGGUUGUGUCGCCAGACGCAUUGCCCGGUAGCUAAGUUCGGAAUUGAUAAGCGCUGAAAGCAUCUAAGCGCGAAGCGAGCCCUGAGAUGAGUCUUCCCUGACAGUUUAACUGUCCUAAAGGGUUGUUCGAGACUAGAACGUUGAUAGGCAGGGUGUGUAAGCGUUGUGAGGCGUUGAGCUAACCUGUACUAAUUGCCCGUGAGGCUUAACCAU
rnacentral:rRNA from 1 species